CAAGUCGAACGAGAAAGCAGGGGCAACCCUGUGAGUACAGUGGCGUACGGGUGAGUAACACGUGGGUAAUCUGCCCCUUUAGUGGGGAAUAACGCUGGGAAACCGGCGCUAAUACCGCAUAAGCUCGAGAGAGGAAAGCAGCAAUGCGCUGAAGGAGGAGCCCGCGGCCGAUUAGCCGGUUGGUGAGGUAAAGGCUCACCAAAGCAAAGAUCGGUAGCCGGCCUGAGAGGGCACACGGCCACACUGGCACUGAAACACGGGCCAGACUCCUACGGGAGGCAGCAGUGGGGAAUCUUGCACAAUGGGGGAAACCCUGAUGCAGCGACGCCGCGUGAGCGAUGAAGCCCUUCGGGGUGUAAAGCUCUUUCGGCAGGGACGAUAAUGACGGUACCUGCAGAAGCAGCUGCGGCUAACUACGUGCCAGCAGCCGCGGUAAUACGCAGGCAGCGAGCGUUGUUCGGAGUUACUGGGCGUAAAGGGUGUGUAGGCGGUUCUCUAAGUUUGGUGUGAAAUCUCCCGGCUCAACCGGGAGGGUGCGCCGAAAACUGGAGGGCUAGAGUGCGGGAAGGGAGAGUGGAAUUCCUGGUGUAGCGGUGAAAUGCGUAGAUAUCAGGAGGAACACCGGUGGUGUAGACGGCUCUCUGGACCGCGACUGACGCUGAGACACGAAAGCGUGGGUAGCAAACAGGAUUAGAUACCCUGGUAGUCCACGCCCUAAACGAUGCAGAUUUGGUGUAGGUCAUUCAGUUGAUCUGUGCCGGAGCUAACGCGUUAAAUAUGCCGCCUGGGGAGUACAGUCGCAAGGCUGAAACUCAAAGGAAUUGACGGGGGCCCGCACAAGCGGUGGA
rnacentral:rRNA from 1 species